rnacentral:lncRNA from 1 species
AGUAAAGCCUAGAAGUGGCCAAUUUGAUUCAAAAAAGUAUGAGAAUUCAAAUUAGAGAUUGAGAAUUCGAAUGGACACAAAAGAUUUGCCAAAACAUGAAUCAAAAAAACUGAACCGAUUCAACAAUACAUGUUUGUCCCGUGAGCUAAGAUUGGCCAGAGCAAAGGUUAGAGGUGGCCAAUUUGAUUGGAAAAAGUAUGAGAAUUCAAAUUAGAGAUUGAAGAUUCGAAUGGACACAAAAGAUCUGUCAAAAAAAAAAAAAAACUGAACCGAUUCAAUAAUAAAUGUCUGUAUCGUGAGCUAGGGUUGGCUACAUAAAAGGCUAGGAGUGUCCAAUUUGAUUGGAAAAAGUAUGAGAAUUCAAAUUAGAGAUUGAGGAUUCGAAUGGGCACAAAAGAUAUGCUAAAACAUGAAUCAAAAAAUUUGAACCGAUUCAAC